AUACGGAGGAUGCGAGCGUUAUCCGGAUUUAUUAGGUUUAAAGGGUGUGUAGGCGGUAUUUUAAGUCAGUGGUGAAAUCUCGGAGCUUAACUUCGAAACUGCCAUUGAUACUGGAAUACUUGAGUAUAGUUGGGGUAGGCGGAAUAUGUAAUGUAGCGGUGAAAUGCAUAGAUAUUACAUAGAACACCGAUUGCGAAGGCAGCUUACUAAACUAUUACUGACGCUGAUGCACGAAAGCGUGGGGAGCGAACAGGAUUAGAAACCCUAGUAGUCC
rnacentral:rRNA from 1 species